AGUAGAAGGAACAACCUACGGGUUCUGGGUCUCGAAGAAUUAAUCGAAGGCCAAAUCUAGAGGAGUUUCGAUUCUCAUAGAUAAUACACUUUCCUUUGUCCAACAUAAGAUAAUUGCAAACAGAUGGAUUAAUCCAUUUCUUAUGCGGAAAUCGCCGAGGCUAUACGUUCAUUACACUCGGGGAAGGCUCCGGAUCCAGCCUUCCUCUGUUUGAUGGAGUAAACACACAUCGUAAGAAAG